CCUACGGGUGGCAGCAGUGAGGAAUAUUGGUCAAUGGACGCAAGUCUGAACCAGCCAUGCCGCGUGCAGGAAGACGGUCCUAUGAGUUGUAAACUGCUUUUGUACGAGGGUAAACGCAGAUACGCGUGUCUGUCUGAAAGUACCGUACGUAUAAGGAUCGGCUAACCUCGUGCCAGCCGCCGAGGUAAUACGGAGGAUUCAAGCGUGACUCGGAUUGAGUGGGUUUAAAGGGUGGGUAGGCGGUCAGAUAAGUUAGUGGUGAAAUCCCUGGGCUCAACCUCGGAAUUGCCUUUGAUACUGGUAGGCUAGAGUGUAGGUGCGGUAGGUGGAAUGAAUGGUGGAGCGGUGAAAUGCUUAGAGAUCAUACAGAACACCGAUUGCGAAGGCAGCUUACCAAGCUGCAACUGACGUUGAGGCACGAAAGCGUGGGGAGCAAACAGGAUUAGAUACCCCUGUAGUC
rnacentral:rRNA from 1 species